rnacentral:rRNA from 1 species
AUAAGAAAGCAGAUCGCAUGAUCAGCUUUUAAAGGCGGGCGUAAAGCUGUCGCUAUGGGGAUGGGCCCCCGCGGUGCAUUAGCUAGUUGGUAAAGGUAAGGCUUUACAGGGCGAUGAUGCAUAGCCGAGUUGAGAGACUGAUCGGGCCACAUUGGGACUGAGACACGGGCCAAAACUCUACGGGGAGGCAGCAGUAGGAAUCUUCCACAAUGGACGCAAGUCUGAUGGAGCAACGCCGCGUGAGUGAAGAAGGUUUUCGGAUCGUAAAAGCUCUGUUGUUGGUGAAGAAGGAUAGAGGUAGUAACUGGCCUUUAUUUGACGGUAAUCAACCAGAAGUCACGGCUAACUACGUGCCAGCAGCCGCGGUAAU